AUUGCAAUUUAUCAAAAUCCCUAUUAGGGAUUGAAAC
rnacentral:other from 21 species